AUCUGGGACAUAUAUCUUUUGAUAUCAUGAGCAAAAUGUUUCCUCAUGAAAUGUCUAAGGUGAAUAAGAGUAAUUUAAUGUGUGAUGCAUGUGAGUACGGGGAGCACACUAGAAGCUCAUAUGUGAGCAGGGGUUUAAGAAGUUUAUCACCUUUUAUAUUAAUCCAUUCAGAUGUGUCGACUUCCCCAGUCACUACUAUAAGUGGGGCAAGAUAUUUUGUUACCUUUAUUGAUUGUUAUUCUCGUAUGACAUGGGUGUAUUUAAUGAAGCAUAAAAGUGAGGUACUUGAA